AGUUUUGUUGUAGCCGUUGUUUUCUGAAAAAUGCGAAUAUUACAAGCUAUAGUGGUGCUACUUCUAAUUGCUGAAUCGCUGCAGAAACCCGCCAGCGUUUGGGACUUUUUUAAGCACUUGCAUUUGCCUGUGAUUGGAAUGACAGUUUAAAAAAGUCUGGAAGACUAUAGGUAUAGGAAGACAGAGGAGACUCGAAUUAUUGUUCAUGAGAAAUGGGUUGACAAAAAAGCCUUUUCAUUGUAAAUUGAAAUAAAAUUAUUUGCGAAAC